GAUGGACGCUGGCGGCGUGCCUAAUACAUGCAAGUCGAGCGAACGGACGAGAAGCUUGCUUCUCUGAUGUUAGCGGCGGACGGGUGAGUAACACGUGGAUAACCUACCUAUAAGACUGGGAUAACUUCGGGAAACCGGAGCUAAUACCGGAUAAUAUUUUGAACCGCAUGGUUCAAAAGUGAAAGACGGUCUUGCUGUCACUUAUAGAUGGAUCCGCGCUGCAUUAGCUAGUUGGUAAGGUAACGGCUUACCAAGGCAACGAUGCAUAGCCGACCUGAGAGGGUGAUCGGCCACACUGGAACUGAGACACGGUCCAGACUCCUACGGGAGGCAGCAGUAGGGAAUCUUCCGCAAUGGGCGAAAGCCCGACGGAGCAACGCCGCGUGAGUGAUGAAGGUCUUCGGAUCGUAAAACUCUGUUAUUAGGGAAGAACAUAUGUGUAAGUAACUGUGCACAUCUUGACGGUACCUAAUCAGAAAGCCACGGCUAACUACGUG
rnacentral:rRNA from 1 species